rnacentral:tRNA from 1 species
GAAAUCCCCCGCCUUUAUAAGUCGUGAGGGUUCAAGUCCCUCUAUCCCC